rnacentral:tRNA from 1 species
GCGGAUAUGGCGGAAUUGGUAGACGCGCUAGGUUUAGGUCCUAGUGGGCCAGGCCUGUGGGGGUUCGAGUCCCUCUAUCCGCA